CAGGGUGACAGGUGGUGCAUGGUUGUCGUCAGCUCGUGUCGUGAGAUGUUGGGUUAAGUCCCGCAACGAGCGCAACCCUCGACCUUAGUUGCCAGCAUUCAGUUGGGCACUCUAAGGUGACUGCCGGCUAAAAGUCGGAGGAAGGUGGGGAUGACGUCAAAUCAUCACGCCCCUUAUGACCUGGGCUACACACGUGCUACAAUGGGCGGUACAAAGGGUCGCGAAUCCGCGAGGGGGAGCCAAUCCCAAAAAGCCGCUCUCAGUUCGGAUUGCAGGCUGCAACUCGCCUGCAUGAAGCCGGAAUCGCUAGUAAUCGCGGAUCAGCAUGCCGCGGUGAAUACGUUCCCGGGCCUU
rnacentral:rRNA from 1 species